CUUUGGACAAAUGUCUUCCAUCUUCCCCCACCCAGUUGCCGGCAUCUGAAAUAAAGCACCUUUCUACCAGCCUGGCCUGUUUACUGGCUUUUGAGCAGUGAGCAGCUGGACCCCACCCACAUACCUUUCAGUAACAGAUUUGGUGCCAAAAGUGGGGCUGGCUACUGCUGGCUAUAGCUGGUUAUAGCUGGCCACUGCUGGCUAUGGUUGGUUAUGGCUGGCUACUGCUGACUAGGGCUGGUUAUGGCUGGCUCCUGCACUUUUAUGGCACCUGGCGUUCCUGGGUCUUCCAGGGGAGAGCUAUAGCUAUGACAAUGUAUGAGCCUGCUACUCAUGGCUAGCUAGCCCCAGGUAGGGGAUUUGGGGGACAUUCCUAGCAGUUGCCAAAGCCAUUUGAUUUGAGGAUCCUCCCUGUUUCUACCCUGCUCAGCACUGACUGCCAACUUACGCUUUUCUUGGCGGAAUGGAAACUUGCACUUGGGAUAAAAUGAUGAGCUCCAAGACCAGUUUCAACUUCCCUUUAUCCAUUACACUUUGGACUCAAAUGCUGGAUCACUUACUGUGCAUGACAUUGGAGACUUGGAACUCUGGAUCCUGGGGCUGUACUCCACUGGGGAGGAAGCGCUGAAUAUUCUCUGUGAGUAUGAUCAAACCAUAGGCGGGCAUUUGACUCACCUUCAGAAGAUUUCCAGUAGGAUACGCCAAUAGCAUGAAGACUAACAGGAUGAGAAGCCAUAUUCUGAAAUGUGAUGACCACGGUGUCAUAAACCUCAGCCUGGAUAGUUGGACCCAGCAGACCUGCAAGAAGGACAUGUUCCCCCAAAUGUCAUUUG